rnacentral:rRNA from 1 species
UACGUAGGGUGCGAGCGUUAAUCGGAAUUACUGGGCGUAAAGCGUGCGCAGGCGGUUGGGCAAGACAGAUGUGAAAUCCCCGGGCUUAACCUGGGAACUGCAUUUGUGACUGCACGGCUAGAGUGUGUCAGAGGGGGGUAGAAUUCCACGUGUAGCAGUGAAAUGCGUAGAUAUGUGGAGGAAUACCGAUGGCGAAGGCAGCCCCCUGGGAUAACACUGACGCUCAUGCACGAAAGCGUGGGGAGCAAACAGG